UAGGGAAUCUUCGGCAAUGGGGGCAACCCUGACCGAGCAACGCCGCGUGAGUGAAGAAGGUUUUCGGAUCGUAAAGCUCUGUUGUAAGAGAAGAACGUGUGUGAGAGUGGAAAGUUCACACAGUGACGGUAACUUACCAGAAAGGGACGGCUAACUACGUGCCAGCAGCCGCGGUAAUACGUAGGUCCCGAGCGUUGUCCGGAUUUAUUGGGCGUAAAGCGAGCGCAGGCGGUUUAAUAAGUCUGAAGUUAAAGGCAGUGGCUUAACCAUUGUUCGCUUUGGAAACUGUUAAGCUUGAGUGCAGAAGAGGCGAGUGGAAUUCCAUGUGUAGCUGUGAAAUGCGUAGAUAUAUGGAGGACCACCGGUGGCGAAAGCGUCUCUCUGGUCUGUAACUGACGCUGAGGCUCGAAAGCGUAGGGAGCAAACAGG
rnacentral:rRNA from 1 species